AUUGAACGCUGGCGGCAGGCCUGACACAUGCAAGUCGAGCGGAUGAAGGGAGCUUGCUCCUGGAUUCAGCGGCGGACGGGUGAGUAAUGCCUAGGAAUCUGCCUGGUAGUGGGGGAUAACGUCCGGAAACGGGCGCUAAUACCGCAUACGUCCUGAGGGAGAAAGUGGAGGAUCUUCGGACCUCACGCUAUCAGAUGAGCCUAGGUCGGAUUAGCUAGUUGGUGGGGUAAAGGCCUACCAAGGCGACGAUCCGUAACUGGUCUGAGAGGAUGAUCAGUCACACUGGAACUGAGACACGGUCCAGACUCCUACGGGAGGCAGCAGUGGGGAAUAUUGGACAAUGGGCGAAAGCCUGAUCCAGCCAUGCCGCGUGUGUGAAGAAGGUCUUCGGAUUGUAAAGCACUUUAAGUUGGGAGGAAGGGCAGUAAGUUAAUACCUUGCUGUUUUGACGUUACCAACAGAAUAAGCACCGGCUAACUUCGUG
rnacentral:rRNA from 1 species